UGGGGGAUAUUGCACAAUGGGCGAAAGCCUGAUGCAGCGACGCCGCGUGGGGGAUGAAGGCCUUCGGGUUGUAAACUUCUUUUGCUCUGAACAAGGCAUGCCUUUGGGGUGUGUUGAGUGUAGGGGUUGAUUAGCGCCGGCUAACUACGUGCCAGCAGCCGCGGUAAUACGUAGGGCGCGAGCGUUGUCCGGAAUUAUUGGGCGUAAAGGGUUCGCAGGCGGAAAUGCAAGUCAGGUGUAAAAGGCAGUAGCUUAACUACUGUAAGCAUUUGAAACUGCAUAUCUUGAGAAGAGUAGAGGUAAGUGGAAUUUUUAGUGUAGCGGUGAAAUGCGUAGAUAUUAAAAAGAAUACCGGUGGCGAAGGCGACUUACUGGGCUCAUUCUGACGCUGAGGAACGAAAGCGUGGGUAGCAAACAGG
rnacentral:rRNA from 1 species